GAGGCUCAUUGUUGGUUGGCAUCCCUGGGAAAGGCACAGGAGCUGAGCUGGGCCUGUGAAUGAAUAGAAUCUGGACAGGGAUGAGGCAAGGAGACAGGAGUGAUCUCUCCACCCUGGGCCAAGUGCCUCCAGAAAGAACGCAGCCCUACUGACACCUUGGUUUUGGCCUGGUGAGACCAACUUUGGACUUUUCACUUCCAAAACUGUGAAGUUCUGAGGCCAAGAAAGGGUAGCUGAUUUCUCCACUGGUGGGAGUACCACUCAAAACUCAAACUCUCUGUCAAAGAAAAAUUGCAGUAGAUAGUGUUAAACAGGCAAAGAAGACUUUAUUCAAGACUGCAAUCAGAGAGAGAGAUGGAACUCAACUCAGCUGAAACAAAAUGCAGCUCCUGCACUCGUGAGAUGGAAAGAAUGAGCUUCCUUCAUGUGGUUGUUGGCACUGGAUGAGCUAAGGUAGGAUGGGUAAAAUACUUGGAAUAUGCAGGAGAAAAAUUAGUGCUGAAUGGACCUUAUCACUAUGUAGGAUGAUGUAGAGCAGCACCCUUCCUUCCUUAGUUAUGCAGUUUCAGCAUCUCUAGCUGAGAAUACAACCAAUUUCUCAAGUGUCUACUGGGGCUAAAAUUAAUUUAGUGAUAGUGGCUGGCAUUUUUUAUUUAAAUGAAUUGAAACAGAAUAGAGCAAAAAAUACCAGAGAGCAUUAUAUAUUCUAAGUAUUGUUUAGUGCUACUUUUCAGUGCUACUUUUACAUAUAUGUUUUAGGGAUACUGGAUUGAAAUGAAAAAGUAAUUUUUCUUCUGGUCAUGCUCAAAAUUUUGAAGUCACUGGAUUAUAUGGUACCUAAAGAUUCCUCUUCUCUUGACUGGUCUAAAAUUCUGUUAAAAAGCAGAUGUUAUGCACAGUAGAGGGCCCUGAAGAUAAAACCAGAAGACUCUGCUGGACCUGGUCCUUCCUUGUUGAAAUAAUUUCUCUGUACCCCAGUUUUAUCCAGUGUAAAAUGUGGAUAAUAGCACCUAGCCAGUCAUGGUGGUUCACGUCUGUAAUCUCAGAACUUUGGGAAGCUGAUGUGGGCGGAUCACUUGAGGUCAGGAGUUCGAGACCAGCCUGGCCAACGUGGUGAAAUCCAAUCUCUACUAAAAAUACAAAAAUUAGCUGGGCAUGGUGACAGAUGCCUGUAAUCCCAGCUACUCAGGAGGCUGGGGCAGGAGAAUCACUUGAACCCAGGAGGCAGAAGUUGAAGUGAGCCGAGAUCGCUCUACUGCUCUCCAGCCUAGGCAACAAGAGUGAAACUGCGUCUCAAAAAACAAACAAACACCCAAAACAAAACCAAAAACAGUACCUAUCUUUCAUAGGCCUGCCACAAGAACUAGAUGAGGUAAUGUACGUAAACUAGGUGUUACUUUGAAAUAUAAAUUUUUAGCGUGAUUUUAGUCAUUCUGCGAUUCUGAGCACAGAAAAUUCUUUUGCUUUAUGAAUCUUGUUCCUGCGUUACCUCAUUUCUUCCCUCUUGUCUUUCCUUUCAUCUGUCCCUCUGCCUGAAACACUGUUCCCACUUUUGCUCAUUUUAUUCCUCUUUUGAGACUUAACUCAGGCACCAUCUCUCCCAUGUCACCCCAAGUGUAUAUAUCUCUUUUCACUUACCACACUUUAAAAUAAAAGUCUAUGAAUGUGCCUGACACUCUCAUUAGACCAUCGUACUUCCCAACUUUAUAUUCAUUGUUUAAAUCCCAAAACUUUGUGGAGCAUCUGCACCUACAAGGAACUCUAAAAUAUUGGCUGAGCUGACCUGAACUAAUCUCCUGCUUUCACAUCUGUUUCUUUCUCUACCUUCACUCUUGUUCUCCUACACCCUCUUUCAAUAUAUUCACUUAUCUUUCCUACCUCCUAUCCCAUUUCUAGCACAUAUAUGGUAUAAAUAAUAGCGAAUUGAGCAGCAACAGUGUCCUCUUGGCCUCAAAAUUGCAGCAUCUCCAGGGGAGGCUAUUAUAAAAGUGGAUUCAGAAAGGGAAAGCAGUAAUUGUAGAAGAGAUACAAUGACCAGAAGAGAAAGGUGAUAAUGUUAAGUUACUCAUAGGUUGUGACAUUUAGCUAGGUGAAAAUACAUGAUUGUACAGAGGUAGGAGAACCAGGGGGAUAGCUUGAGGCCUAGAGGUGAUUAGCAGAAGGGACAGACUGGUCCAGCCCUCUGAGUCUUUUCCUGCAUCUGCCCAUUGCCCGGGGCAGGGACAAGGUUACUGGGAUCUACAUGGUACCCAAUUAUGCUCCUUCCUCUACACUCUAGAAAGGGAGGUCCUGGCAGCUUGAAGACCCUCUGUCAUUACCCAACCGUCUUGACCCGAAAACUUCCAAUUCUCAAUCCCACAUGUAAAUAAUUCACAAAGCAGUUUCCAGGAGGCCAUGAUACUGCAACAAAGAAAUGAAUAAAGCCUGGUCACAACAACAGACACUUUUUCAAACUCUGAGUCCGAUCAGAUGGUUACAGCAGUCUUCUGGCUGUUGAAUGUUUUCCCUCCUGUCACUGCCAAGUUGCUGGGUUGAUUUAUUGGGAAACAGGUAACAGUCACCUUCGCACUGCUGUUAGCAGAUUCCUUUGAGAGAACAGGUUACAAAAACAUCCGGUUUGUCUCCCUUGCAUUUAUCUGUUUAUUCAUGCAUGGAGAUUUGUUCCAGGAGUAACUGAAGCAUAUAAUUCUCAGAGUUCGAAUAAAUUGAAAAUUGCUCCUGCUG